GGAUGGUUAGCUUCGGGAACAUGAGACAGGCGCUGCAUGUCUGUCGUCAGCUCGUGUCGUGAGAUGUUGGGUUAAGUCCCGUAAACGAGCGCAACCCUNGUCCUUAGUUACCAGCACGUUAUGGUGGGCACUCUAAGGAGACUGCCGGUGACAAACCGGAGGAAGGUGGGGAUGACGUCAAGUCAUCAUGGCCCUUACGGCCUGGGCUACACACGUGCUACAAUGGUCGGUACAGAGGGUUGCCAAGCCGCGAGGUGGAGCUAAUCCCAUANAACCGAUCGUAGUCCGGAUCGCAGUCUGCAACUCGACUGCGUGAAGUCGGAAUCGCUAGUAAUCGCGAAUCAAAUGUCGCGGUGAAUAC
rnacentral:rRNA from 1 species